CGUAACAAGGUUUCCGUAGGUGAACCUGCGGAAGGAUCAUUACC
rnacentral:rRNA from 1 species